rnacentral:misc_RNA from 1 species
UCCCCGUUCACCGGGGCAGUCCCCUCAGAGUGCCCGGCAUCACCCGGUAGCAACAGAGGGCGAGGGUUGCGCUCGUUGCGGGACUUAACCCAACAUCUCACGACACGAGCUGACGACAGCCAUGCAGCACCUGUGUACAGGCCCCAAAGGGAGGGCGACUUUCAUCGCCUGUCCUGGCAUGUCAAGGAUUGGUAAGGUUCUUCGCGUUGCGUCGAAUUGAACCACAUGCUCCACCGCUUGUGCGGGCCCCCGUCAAUUCCUUUGAGGUUCAACCUUGCGGCCGUACUCCCCAGGCGGAGUGCUUAAUGCGUUAGCUGCGACACUGAAAAGCUAGGCUUCCCAACGUCUAGCACUCAUCGUUUACGGCGUGGACUAC